rnacentral:ncRNA from 1 species
GGAACUUAGAAGUACUUGAUAUUCUGCUUGAUUUCAGCAAUGUUUGAACACGAUGUUCAAACAAGCCGCUGUUGAGACAUGGAUGUCGAAUCAGCGGCGGUUGCGUGCGAGAUGAAUAUUGGAAGCAGAAUAUCGUAGUACUUCUUAGUUUC